CUUGCUGCACUGUAAACCUAGCGGCGGACGGGUGAGUAACGCGUGGGCAACCUGCCUUACACAGGGGGAUAACACUGGGAAACUAGUGCUAAUACCGCAUAACAUCAUUUUAUGGCAUCAUGAGAUGAUCAAAGGAGCAAUCCGGUGUAAGAUGGGCCCGCGUCCGAUUAGCUAGUUGGUGGUGUAAAGGGCCACCAAGGCGACGAUGGGUAGCCGGCCUGAGAGGGUGGGCGGCCACACUGGAACUGAGACACGGUCCAGACUCC
rnacentral:rRNA from 1 species